CUUGUACCUUUCUGGUAUGUAUGUUUCGAGCUAUAGCUAUUAUAUGUAUCUGUCCGAUUGCUUUAUGUUGGACAGGUGCCUCUAAGAAAAUAGCUUAGAGUGCUUUACUGUAAACCUUUUCCAUUAGGAAACGGUGAAAAGAUUCUGCUACUUAUAUAUAGUGGAUGUAGCGUUGGUGGUGCAACUGAAUCUUCUCAUUACGUUUUUUCAACGACGGUAAACGAGAUAUUUCUUGCUCAGAAGAAAGGCCUGAGGAUGGAAGACAAUCUUACGGAGCAAAUGCCCGACAAAGUUCCACUGUUGAUUGCCAAAUUUUGUGCAGAACAGCAGCAUGUGGAAACUAAUCUCAGAGCGUCCAUUGCUGGAAUGUCUCUUAUGUUCUCUCUCCAUGAUGAAGAUGAGGGGAAUUUUCAGGAGUUGAAUGGUGAUCAGCGUUGGCUUUGAUUAUCAUCGUCUAGGUGCAGGAUGCAGGGAUAUAUCUUUAAUGGUGCAGAUAUGUCCUCGAGAGUUGAUGUUUGAAGGAACAAUGAAACACAUUGAGGUGAAUGAAUAGGUGAGUCAUCGAGAAAAUGGCAUGUUCUUUGGUGACGAGAGAAUGAAGUAUGGGAUACGUGCCCAAAGUGCCUGUAUUCGGCGGCAGCAAGCGGAAGUACUAGGCACUCUUCCUCCGCGCGCCUCUUAUAUGGAUGUUCCUGAACAUGAUUUGGUUGGGGAAUCUGCUCCAAAAGUUCCAUUUGCAAAGCAGAAUGAUGUGAUCAGAAUAAUGCCGCUUAGAACUUCGGGACUUGCUCGUUUCCAAUUAGUCAGCAAUUCUUGCCUGUCUGAUGGCAGCUUGAGAGGGCCAGUGUCAUUCUCAUCAUCACUACCACCAUUUGCUCUUUGGGUUUACUUCCGGCUUAUCCUCAAGCUGCUGGCUUUCGUGAAGGAAAUGGAGAAGUUUCUCUAAGUAAAUGACUUCACGAAUAACUUUCAAUCCGAAGAUAAGCAAGUAUCUCCUGAGGAUUGGAACAGAAGGCCUAGAACUUGCAUUGCAACCACAUCUUGGAGGGAGAGACUACAGGGUGUCCUAUCGGUCUUUGAUGCGAGAGUAUUCUCUGCUUUCCUUUUGAUGGCAGAGAUGAUGUAGGGAGCUAUUUUGAUUGGGAUCAGUUUAUUGCUCUGGACUUUUAUUCUCCUUUUUCUACAAGAGAAGGGCAGGGUGAUAGUUUGAACUUUGAUACCCUUCUGCAAUUCAAAUUCCAAGAAGAGGUUUUCUUCAAUGGUGACAACUUCUGUGCAUCUGAGUUCCUGUAACCUUGACUUGUAUCUAGUCAGUACUGCAUGUGAGGUGGCUGAUGAUGGUUGAUGAUGGGGGUGAGUCUCGCUGUACUGCUAAAGGGUGUAAAUUUUCUUCUCUGAAGAUUCUGCUUGUUGCCAACUACACACCUUCUUCCAUCCUCAGAAUGAUUUGGCAGGAGGGUCCUGUUACUGGUGCAUGGGUUGCCGAGAGAGCAAAGUCUUUAGCUGUUUCAGAGGAGAGGAGCAGAAAUAAAUUCGUGGGAAAA